GAUGAACGCUAGCGGCAGGCUUAAUACAUGCAAGUCGAGGGGCAGCGCAGUGUAGCAAUACAUGGGCGGCGACCGGCAAACGGGUGCGGAACACGUACAGAACCUUCCUUCGAGCGGGAAUAGCCCAGAGAAAUUUGGAUUAAUACCCCAUAGUAUAUUGAUAAGGCAUCUUAUUAAUAUUAAAGAUUUAUCACUUGAAGAUGGCUGUGCGGCUGAUUAGGAGUUGGCGGGGUAACGGCCCACCAAGCCUUCGAUCAGUAACUGGUGUGAGNGAACNCGACCAGUCACACGGGCACUGAGACAC
rnacentral:rRNA from 1 species